rnacentral:rRNA from 1 species
GUGGGGAAUAUUGGACAAUGGGCGAAAGCCUGAUCCAGCCAUGCCGCGUGUGUGAAGAAGGUCUUCGGAUUGUAAAGCACUUUAAGUUGGGAGGAAGGGCAGUAAGUUAAUACCUUGCUGUUUUGACGUUACCGACAGAAUAAGCACCGGCUAACUUCGUGCCAGCAGCCGCGGUAAUACGAAGGGUGCAAGCGUUAAUCGGAAUUACUGGGCGUAAAGCGCGCGUAGGUGGUUUUGUAAGUUGGAGGUGAAAUCCCCGGGCUCAACCUGGGAACUGCCUCCAAAACUGCAUGACUAGAGUACGGUAGAGGGUAGUGGAAUUUCCUGUGUAGCGGUGAAAUGCGUAGAUAUAGGAAGGAACACCAGUGGCGAAGGCGACUACCUGGACUGAUACUGACACUGAGGUGCGAAAGCGUGGGGAGCAAGCAGGAUUAGAAACCCUUGUAGUCC